ACAGCGGAGGGAUCAUUACCGGGUUUACAACUCCCAAACCCCUGUGAACAUACCACUUGUUGCCUCGGCGGAUCAGCCCGCUCCCGGUAAAACGGGACGGCCCGCCAGAGGACCCCUAAAACUCUGUUUCUAUAUGUAACUUCUGAGUAAAACCAUAAAUAAAUCAAAACUUUCAACAACGGAUCUCUUGGUUCUGGCAUCGAUGAAGAACGCAGCAAAAUGCGAUAAGUAAUGUGAAUUGCAGAAUUCAGUGAAUCAUCGAAUCUUUGAACGCACAUUGCGCCCGCCAGUAUUCUGGCGGGCAUGCCUGUUCGAGCGUCAUUUCAACCCUCAAGCACAGCUUGGUGUUGGGACUCGCGUUAAUUCGCGUUCCUCAAAUUGAUUGGCGGUCACGUCGAGCUUCCAUAGCGUAGUAGUAAAACCCUCGUUACUGGUAAUCGUCGCGGCCACGCCGUUAAACCCCAACUUCUGAAUGUUGACCUCGGAUCAGGUAGGAAUACCCGCUGAACUUAAGCAUAUCAAUAAGCGGAGGA
rnacentral:rRNA from 1 species